rnacentral:lncRNA from 1 species
AUAAAAAUAUUUUAGCUAAGUAUGAAAAAUACAUUAAAACACUUAGAAUAUGAUCAUUUUGCAAUCAUCUCCAGUGAAUUAAUGAAUCUAGGCACUGAGCACUAUUACAAAGUAUUACUAUUCACAUGUCAUUUUAAUACUCAAGUUUUAAGUAAUACCCCAGAUAUUGCAGCUAUUAAAAAGAGCACAGAAUCAGGAAACCAUGGGAUGUUCUAGAAUUUUAUCAGUGAAGAAACCUGAAACCUGAGGUUACUAGGGAAAAUAUAAGGACCUGCCCAUACCUUCUUUCUAUCGCCAGGGAUUCCUAAAUGUCUAUCCCAAGGGAUACCAACACACAAUAGUUUUCCUAUCAUGUGUUGAAUGUGAUUUUUUAAAACUGAAAAUUUACCUGAAGUAAUUUUAUAAAAAUUGCUAUUAGACUUUACUUGGCAAAAAAAGAAAAAUAUCCAAA